AACGUAGGAGACAAACGUUAUCCGGAGUUACUGGGCGUAAAGGGCGUGCAGGUGGUUCGUUAAGUUCGGCGUGAAAGCUUCUGGCUAAACCGGGAGAGGUCGUCGGAGACUGGCGGGCUAGAGGGUGAUAGAGGCGGGUGGAAUUCCGGGUGUAGUGGUGAAAUGCGUAGAGAUCCGGAGGAACACCAGUGGCGAAGGCGACCCGCUGGGUCACACCUGACACUGAGACGCGACAGCAUGGGGAGCGAACGGG
rnacentral:rRNA from 1 species